UAUACAUUGACAGAACUUACAGUAUUAUUUGAAGACAGUGGGCAUUGACAGAAUUUCAUCCUCCAGCGGCGGAGCUUGGCAGGGGCGGCGGCGCUGUGAGGUGCAGCCCAUGGGGAAGGUGAGGGGCGGCCAGAUCCGCGGGUGCUGGCGACAAACGACGGCCUGGUCGGGCGCUCGGUGAGGCAGAGGCGCGGGGGCACAGCUGCGCAGGGAGGCUGCCGGUAGGCUCGAUUUGGAAAUCAAGGAGAGGACUGGGUGGAUGGAUUUUUGGAUCGGGGGGAUCCCGAUGGGAGGAGGGUAGGCGGUGGUGGCGCUCGACGGCGGGGUGUGUCCGGCGGCGCGCGGUGAGGGCAGGGUAGGAGGUGGUGUUGCGCUGCCGGUGGAGAUGAGAUUGGGAGGCCGGGACGUGCGUGG
rnacentral:rRNA from 1 species